rnacentral:misc_RNA from 1 species
GAUGAAGAACGCAGCGAAAUGCGAUAAGUAAUGUGAAUUGCAGAAUUCAGUGAAUCAUCGAAUCUUUGGACGCACAUUGCGCCCGCCAGCACUCUGGCGGGCAUGCCUGUUCGAGCGUCAUUUCAACCAUCAAGCCCCCAGGGGCUUGUGCUGGGGCCCUGCGGCUGCCCGCAGGCCCUGAAAACCAGUGGCGGGCUCGCUAGUCACACCGAGCGCAGUAGCACAUCUCGCUCAGGGCGUGCGGCGGGCUCCUGCCGUGAAACCCCCCACUGUAACCCCAAAGGUUGACCUCGGAUCAGGUAGGAAUACCCGCUGAACUUAAGCAUAUCAAUAAGCGGAGGA